rnacentral:tRNA from 1 species
GGGCCCAUAGCUCAGUUGGUUAGAGCGCAUCCCUGAUAAGGAUGAGGUCGCUGGUUCGAAUCCAGCUGGGCCCA